GAUGAACGCUGGCGGCGUGCCUAAUACAUGCAAGUCGAGCGAACAGACGAGGAGCUUGCUCCUCUGACGUUAGCGGCGGACGGGUGAGUAACACGUGGAUAACCUACCUAUAAGACUGGGAUAACUUCGGGAAACCGGAGCUAAUACCGGAUAAUAUAUUGAACCGCAUGGUUCAAUAGUGAAAGACGGUUUUGCUGUCACUUAUAGAUGGAUCCGCGCCGCAUUAGCUAGUUGGUAAGGUAACGGCUUACCAAGGCAACGAUGCUUAGCCGACCUGAGAGGGUGAUCGGCCACACUGGAACUGAGACACGUUCCAGACUCCUACGGGAGGCGGCAGUAGGGAAUCUUCCGCAAUGGGCGAAAGCCUGACGGAGCAACGCCGCGUGAUUGAUGAAGGUCUUCGGAUCGUAAAACUCUGUUAUUAGGGAAGAACAAAUGUGUAAGUACCUAUGCACGUCUUGACGGUACCUAAUCAGAAAGCCACGGCUAACUACGUG
rnacentral:rRNA from 1 species